rnacentral:rRNA from 1 species
CCUACGGGAGGCAGCAGUGGGGAAUAUUGCGCAAUGGGGGCAACCCUGACGCAGCAACGCCGCGUGAUUGAAGAAGGCCUUCGGGUUGUAAAGAUCUUUAAUCGGGGACGAAUUUUGACCGUACCCUAAGAAUUAGCCCCGGCUAAAUACGUGCCAGCAGCCGCGGUAAGACGGAGGGAGCAAGCGUUAUCCGGAUUUACUGGGGGUAAAGGGCGUGUAGGCGGGCACGCAAGCCAGAAGUGAAAUCUGGGGGCUUAACCCCCAAACUGCUUUUGAAACUGGUUGUCUUGAGUGAUGGAGAGGCAGGCGGAAUGCCCGGUGUAGCGGUGAAAUGCGUAGAUAUUGGGAGGAACACCAGUGGCGAAGGCGGCCUGCUGGACAUUAACUGACGCUGAGGCGCGAAAGCGUGGGGAGCAAACAGGAUUAGAUACCCGUGUAGUC